GACGAACCGUGCGAACGUUGUUCGGAAUCACUGGGCUUAAAGGGCGCGUAGGCGGGUUCGCUGGUCAGGGGUGAAAUCCCACGGCUCAACCGUGGAAGUGCCUCUGAUACCGCGGACCUCGAGGGAGGUAGGGGCGUGCGGAACUUCCGGUGGAGCGGUGAAAUGCGUAGAUAUCGGAAGGAACACCGGUGGCGAAAGCGGCGCGCUGGACCUCUUCUGACGCUGAGGCGCGAAAGCCAGGGGAGCGAACGGG
rnacentral:rRNA from 1 species